rnacentral:rRNA from 1 species
AUUGAACGCUGGCGGCAGGCCUAACACAUGCAAGUCGAGCGGAUGAAGGGAGCUUGCUCCUGGAUUCAGCGGCGGACGGGUGAGUAAUGCCUAGGAAUCUGCCUGGUAGUGGGGGAUAACGUCCGGAAACGGGCGCUAAUACCGCAUACGUCCUGAGGGAGAAAGUGGGGGAUCUUCGGACCUCACGCUAUCAGAUGAGCCUAGGUCGGAUUAGCUAGUUGGUGGGGUAAAGGCCUACCAAGGCGACGAUCCGUAACUGGUCUGAGAGGAUGAUCAGUCACACUGGAACUGAGACACGGUCCAGACUCCUACGGGAGGCAGCAGUGGGGAAUAUUGGACAAUGGGCAAAAGCCUGAUCCAGCCAUGCCGCGUGUGUGAAGAAGGUCUUCGGAUUGUAAAGCACUUUAAGUUGGGAGGAAGGGCGGUAAGUUAAUACCUUGCUGUUUUGACGUUACCAACAGAAUAAGCACCGGCUAACUUCGUG